UGACCUUCAUGCUGCUCUUGGCCGCUGUGGAGCAUACCAUUGGAUAGAACCUCCUGUUCUGCAGCCGAGUGGCAGCCACUCCUGGAAGGGAAACAGCCUAAGUCCCUCAUGGCUCAGGAAGGGCCAGGAAAGGGGCUGCAAGGUAUCCAGAUGUACACCAAUGAUGGAGCCCUGGCCGAAGCGUGAAGAAAAACUUGUCUUAUCGCCUUUGUGGUGAAGGAGCCCUGGAGGCAGUUGAGAUGGCCGGGAGCCCUGAAAAUCCAGCUGUCAGAGACUACCUCCUGCCUUCUCCUAAACCACUGGGAUGGUUCUGACAGCAAGAUCCAGCAUGAGGUUCCUCACAUCAAAAGACCUGAUCCUGAUCCUGAUCCUGAUCCUGUCUUGGGAUGUGGCCCCAUCACUGGAGGAAAGUCAGGAGCUCUUAAUGAGCCUAAUGGGCUGACACUGUUGCUUCAAGCCUCAGUUGUAGCAAACUCCUCCAAAGAGGUACAGUCCUUGUGGCUUGAGCUUUCAAUCCUAGGGACCUAGUAUAGGUACAGAUAAGGCUGAGCUGACCAGGUUCCAACCAUUGACCAAUCCACACCAUUCAGUUACUUUGUAUGCCCCUGAGCUCGUCAGGGAGGGUCCCCAGGUCACCCAUUACUGAGAACCAUCAUGGUUGCUGGGCAAUCGAGGUGGCAGCCAGCAACAGAGACCUGAGCGUGCUUAGUCAGCUAAGAUAAACCGAAGCCCCUCAGGAGCCAAUCAAAAUAGCUAUCUUGACUAGAGGGGAGGUCUAGAUAGGCCAGACCUAGAGGGCUGUACGCCACUGGUAUAAACAGAGGGUCCUCCAAAAUCAAGGCUGACCCACUGAGUCAAGAGCCAAAGUCAAUCUGAUCCACCCUGGCUGGCUCCAGGGCAAAAGGAAGGGAGGGUACUACUUAGGCCAACACAGGGCCCAGGGGAGAUCAGGUACUGCCCACAUGGAUGACAGGCCCAUUAGAUGACAGAUGACACACAGCAUGUGUGUGUCACUACCGCAGUCCCAUAGUGAAGAGCCUGUGAAGCAUAGUCUACUCAAAGACACACUGUCACUGGGAGCUAGAGGUGUAGCUGGAAUUUGAGCUCGCCUAUCAAGUUCAGAGGACCCAGGAAGGGCCUGGAUGCUGCUGACCAGGUCAGAGGCAACAUAAGGCAGAACCAGACCUCCAUUACAAUGACACCUCAGGAAGCCAGAUGAGGAGCUACCCCUUCACUGUGCCCCACAGACCUAGAAGUCGUAGAGAGAUGAGCAAAAAUCCUGUCCAUCUCUACCCCUGCCCUGUAUUCCUGGGCCUCCCCGUGCUCAGAGAGUCUCCAAGCAAGGAAGGCUUGGGAAAUGUAAAUAUCAAGAAUCACAGAUACAAAUAAAAAAGAAGGGCACUUGCUGCCAAGUCUGAUGACCUGAGUUUAAUCCUAGGGUCCCACAUGGUGGAAGAAGAGAACUGACCACCAUUAGUUGUUCUCUGACCUCCACAUGCACACUGUAGCACAUAUGUCCACACACUCAUACACAAUAAACUGCCUCAAGUUGAAGGUAGCCUAAAGUACAGCAUGAGACCAUAUCUAAAAAUAUCAACAGAAAGUAAACCACAGAUGCUUUUAGACACAUACAUGAAUGUAAAGUGAAUACUUGUACUGAAAAAUGAAACAUGUAGGUCCAGCAAGAAGGUUCAGUAGGUAAACAUUUGCUGUACAAGCCUGACAACAUAAAUUGGAUCCCCAGAACCCAAGUAAAGGUAGAAGGAAAGAACAAACUACACUCUAGUUGUCCUCUGACAUCCAUGCACACUCUGUGGUACACAUACACCAUAUAAAUACAAUAAUAAGGAAAAAGAAACCUUCAGAGGUAUGUACCAAGUUGAGGGCUGAACAGCACUAUCUAGGACUGCCAUUCCCUGGGAAGGCUCCCUGCCUAUCUUGAGUCUGUCACCUUCAGACUACAUGUUUUUACCACACCAAAGAACCUUGCCAAGCAUGGUGAACCAGGAGACAGUCCAGUCACUUGGCUCAGCAUCUUUUUCUGACUCCUCAUCCAUA